UGAAGUCGAUUACGGCCCCGCACGGGGGG
rnacentral:piRNA from 1 species